ACACUUUGAAUCACAACUUCCUCCUAACAAGGCUGUUAGGGCCCUGGGUGUGGUGGGAUCAUCAGCUGGGAGUGGGGUGUCUGAGUAUGGUUGGCCAUCUGCUCAUCUGGGGUCCAGAGCUCUCACAGUCCAGCUGAAGUUGCAUGUGUGGACCUUGUGCCUCCUGGGACCUCCUGGCCCAGUCAGGCUCAGUGUCUGUUGCUUUCCAGAACCCUGGCUACUACGACAUCCAGGCCAAGGACCUGGGCAUCUGGCACGUGCCCAAUAAGUCCCCCAUGCAGCACUGGAGAAACAGGUCCCUGCUGAGGUACCGCACGGACACUGGCUUCCUCCAGACACUGGGACAUAAUCUGUUUGGCAUCUACCAGAAAUAUCCAGUGAAAUAUGGAGAAGGAAAGUGUUGGACUGACAACGGCCCGGCGAUCCCUGUGGUCUAUGAUUUUGGCAACGCCCAGAAAACAGCAUCUUAUUACUCACCCUAUGGCCAGGGGGAAUUCACUGCGGGAUUUGUUCAGUUCAGGGUAUUUAAUAACGAGAGAGCAGCCAACGCCUUGUGUGCUGGAAUGAGGGUCACCGGAUGUAACACUGAGCA
rnacentral:sRNA from 1 species